rnacentral:rRNA from 1 species
GAUUCGGGGUGCAGCAGGCGCGAAAACUCCACACUGUACGCAAGUACGAUGGGGUUAUCUCGAGUGCAGUCCGAUAAGGGCUGCUUUUCCAUAGAGUAAUAUCCUGUGGGAAUAAGAGGGGGGCAAGACUGGUGUCAGCCGCCGCGGUAACACCAGCCCCUCGAGUGGUGGGGACUUUUAUUUGGCCUAAAGCGUCCGUAGCUGGCUGUAUCCGUCCCCCGUUAAAUCCAGCGUCCUAAACGUUGGACUGCGGGUGAUACCAUACAGCUAGAGGGUGGGAUAGGUGAGCGGUAUUUCUGGGGUAGGGGCGAAAUCCUUUGAUCCCAGGAGGACCACCAGUGGCGAAGGCUGCUCACUAGAACACGCCUGACGGUCAGGGACGAAAGCUGGGGCAGCGAACCGGAUUAGAUACCCGGGUAGUCCCAGCUGUAAACGAUGCUAGCUAGGUGUUGGGUCGGCCACGUGCCGCCCCAGUGCCGCAGGGAAGCCGUUAAGCUAGCCGCCUGGGGAGUACGGCCGCAAGGCUGAAACUUAAAGGAAUUGGCGGGGGAGCACAAAUCACUAGUGAAU